rnacentral:rRNA from 1 species
GAUGAACGCUGGCGGCGUGCCUAAUACAUGCAAGUCGAGCGAACAGAUGAGGAGCUUGCUCCUCUGACGUUAGCGGCGGACGGGUGAGUAACACGUGGAUAACCUACCUAUAAGACUGGGAUAACUUCGGGAAACCGGAGCUAAUACCGGAUAAUAUAUUGAACCGCAUGGUUCAAUAGUGAAAGACGGUUUUGCUGUCACUUAUAGAUGGAUCCGCGCCGCAUUAGCUAGUUGGUAAGGUAACGGCUUACCAAGGCAACGAUGCGUAGCCGACCUGAGAGGGGGAUCGGCCACACUGGAACGGAGACACGGUCCAGACUCCUACGGGAGGCAGGAGUAGGGAAUCUUCCGAAAUGGGCGAAAGCCUGACGGAGCAACGCCGCGUGAGUGAUGAAGGUCUUCGGAUCGUAAAACCCUUUUAUUGGGGAAAAACAAAUGUGUAAGUAACUAUGCACGUCUUGACGGUACCUAAGCAGAAAGCCACGGCUAACUACGU